rnacentral:rRNA from 1 species
UCGUUUCUACGGGACGCAGCAGUGAGGAAUAUUGGUCAAUGGUCGGGAGACUGAACCAGCCAAGCCGCGUGAGGGAGGAAGGUACAGAGUAUCGUAAACCUCUUUUGUCAGGGAACAAAGGCGGGGACGUGUCCCCGGAUGAGUGUACCCGAAGAAAAAGCAUCGGCUAACUCCGUGCCAGCAGCCGCGGUAAUACGGAGGAUGCGAGCGUUAUCCGGAUUUAUUGGGUUUAAAGGGUGCGCAGGCGGUCUGUUAAGUCAGCGGUCAAAGCCCGGGGGUCACCCCCGGCCCGCCGUUGC